rnacentral:rRNA from 1 species
GGGUUGUGAGGUUAAGCGACUAAGCGUACACGGUGGAUGCCCUGGCAGUCAGAGGCGAUGAAGGACGUGCUAAUCUGCGAUAAGCGUCGGUAAGGUGAUAUGAACCGUUAUAACCGGCGAUUUCCGAAUGGGGAAACCCAGUGCAAUUCGUUGCACUAUCGUUAAGUGAAUACAUAGCUUAACGAAGCGAACCGGGGGAACUGAAACAUCUAAGUACCCCGAGGAAAAGAAAUCAACCGAGAUUCCCCCAGUAGCGGCGAGCGAACGGGGAGCAGCCCAGAGUCUGAAUCAGCAUGUGUGUUAGUGGAAGCGUCUGGAAAGUCGCACGAUACAGGGUGAAAGUCCCGUACACCAAAAUGCACAUGUUGUGAACUCGAAGAGUAGGGCGGGACACGUGGUAUCCUGUCUGAAUAUGGGGGGACCAUCCUCCAAGGCUAAAUACUCCUGACUGACCGAUAGUGAACCAGUACCGUGAGGGAAAGGCGAAAAGAACCCCGGCGAGGGGAGUGAAAAAGAACCUGAAACCGUGUACGUACAAGCAGUGGGAGCCUCUUUAUGGGGUGACUGCGUACCUUUUGUAUAAUGGGUCAGCGACUUAUAUUCUGUAGCAAGGUUAACCGAAUAGGGGAGCCGAAGGGAAACCGAGUCUUAACUGGGCGUUAAGUUGCAGGGUAUAGACCCGAAACCCGGUGAUCUAGCCAUGGGCAGGUUGAAGGUUGGGUAACACUAACUGGAGGACCGAACCGACUAAUGUUGAAAAAUUAGCGGAUGACCUGUGGCUGGGGGUGAAAGGCCAAUCAAACCGGGAGAUAGCUGGUUCUCCCCGAAAGCUAUUUAGGUAGCGCCUCGUGAAUUCAUCUUCGGGGGUAGAGCACUGUUUCGGCUAGGGGGUCAUCCCGACUUACCAACCCGAUGCAAACUACGAAUACCGAAGAAUGUUAUCACGGGAGACACACGGCGGGUGCUAACGUCCGUCGUGAAGAGGGAAACAACCCAGACCGCCAGCUAAGGUCCCAAAGUCACAGUUAAGUGGGAAACGAUGUGGGAAGGCUCAGACAGCCAGGAUGUUGGCUUAGAAGCAGCCAUCAUUUAAAGAAAGCGUAAUAGCUCACUGGUCGAGUCGGCCUGCGCGGAAGAUGUAACGGGGCUAAACUGUGCACCGAAGCUGCGGCAGCGACACUAUGUGUUGUUGGGUAGGGGAGCGUUCUGUAAGCCGUUGAAGGUGUGUCGUGAGGCAUGCUGGAGGUAUCAGAAGUGCGAAUGCUGACAUAAGUAACGAUAAAGCGGGUGAAAAACCCGCUCGCCGGAAGACCAAGGGUUCCUGUCCAACGUUAAUCGGGGCAGGGUGAGUCGACCCCUAAGGCGAGGCCGAAAGGCGUAGUCGAUGGGAAACAGGUUAAUAUUCCUGUACUUGGUGUUACUGCGAAGGGGGGACGGAGAAGGCUAUGUUGGCCGGGCGACGGUUGUCCCGGUUUAAGCGUGUAGGUUUGCAGACCAGGUAAAUCCGGUCUGCUUCAAGACUGAGACGUGAUGACGAGGCACUACGGUGCUGAAGUAACAAAUGCCCUGCUUCCAGGAAAAGCCUCUAAGCAUCAGGUAACACGAAAUCGUA